rnacentral:rRNA from 1 species
GGGAGAAGUUAGUGGCGGAAGGGUGAGUAACGCGUGGGAAUCUACCUGUAGGUAAAGAAUAGCUUUGGGAAACUGAAGGUAAUACUGUAUAUCCCCUGAGGGGGAAAGGGUGCUUCGGCACUCGCCUAUAGAUGAGCCUGCGUCCGAUUAGGUAGUUGGUGGGGUAAUGGCCUACCAAGCCGACGAUCGGUAGCUGGUCUGAGAGGAUGAUCAGCCACACUGGACUUGAGAUAAGGUUCAGACUCC